rnacentral:rRNA from 1 species
UGAGGAAUUUUGCGCAAUGGGGGAAACCCUGACGCAGCAACGCCGCGUGAGUGAUGAAGGCUUUCGGGUCGUAAAGCUCUGUCAAGUGGGAAGAACCACUUUGAGGAUAAUACCCUCGAGGUCUGACGGUACCACUGAAGGAAGCACCGGCUAACUCCGUGCCAGCAGCCGCGGUAAUACGGGGGGUGCAAGCGUUAUUCGGAUUUACUGGGCGUAAAGCGCGCGUAGGCGGCCGUUUAAGUCAGAUGUGAAAGCCCGGGGCUCAACCCCGGAAGUUCAUUUGAUACUAUUCGGCUUGAGUAUGGGAGAGGGAAGUGGAAUUCCUGGUGUAGAGGUGAAAUUCGUAGAUAUCAGGGGGAACACCGGUGGCGAAGGCGACUUCCUGGACCAAUACUGACGCUGAGGCGCGAAGGCGUGGGGAGCAAACA